CUCUGCCCCUAAAGACUUACUACAAAGAAGGAACACUGAAAUGGGAAUUUCUGAGUGAAGGUUAAAGGGUUCAAAUUUCAUCUUAAAGCACAGGGGUCAUGGGUGGCUUUGAUCAUCUUAAAGCAAGAUAGACGUUUCCAGAACAGGCCGUCACAUCUUAGGCAGUGCUGUUUGCAUUGACGUCGAGUCUAGGUUAGUUCGAAUAAACUCUCUCUCUGAAGAUUUUCCAAACUGCUUGAGUCAACAAGCUAGACACAACUAUAAAUCUUUGGAGAAUUGGCUUUUUGUGCGCUCCCAUAUCUGGUAAUGGCUGGCAGCAUCAAAAGAACAGUCUUCGUCUCCCUAGGCUGGCACUUCCCUUUUCGGUCUUGGCCAGCCCCCAGGAAGGGAAAGCGGAUCCACGUUACAUAACAAACCUCCUGGAAAAGGUGCUGUUCUCAAACUGAGAGAAGAAAUGGUUUCAUGAUUUUUUUUUUUUCCUAAAUUGGUUUGCUUGUGGGUGCCUGAUGGUUUCCUGGCUUCCAUCUAACGAGCAACAUUGUUUUCUCCAGCUCAUAGACUACAACCGACUUUUUAUAGCUUAUGACAUUUCAGAGAUUUCGAUGGCUUCUCCUCUCAUCCCAUCACUCAGAUAGUGAUAGGAGGAAAAAAUAACCCAAGUGUGACUUGUAAAUGCAAACUUGCGAGAUCUGUGCCUACCUACUGAUGGAACAUGCCAGUACUACUUUGGGGGGCAAAGAACAUGUUUGAGGGGAAAAAUGUAUCUCUC